GAAAAAAUUCAAAUGCAUUGAGUUUCAGUUUAUUGUUUGUUAUGAUAAUAAUAAUAAUAUAUUUUUCAGUAUGUUUGGGCUUAAACGACAAAAAAAAUCAGCCAAAUGAUGUUGAAAUUUGCAUCUGAUCGCCUUGUUAUAAAUCGACUUACAUAUAAAUGAGUCUGACAAUUUAUGAAUCAGUCUCAAUAAAAGUAACCUAUUGCAGCAAGAUUUAUUCCAUGCUUACAUGAUUCAAGCUAUUCCAGCCAAUGCAUCUGACAACGUUUACUGUACUCUCCUUUCCCAAAGAGCAGUUCAUGGUGCAAUGUGGCGCUAUGUUGCACCCAGACCGGGAGUCCGGGGAAGGAAAACGUCAAAGCUAAAACAUUGAUUGCGAAUAAUGGAAAGACAGAACAAAGUUGUGAUUAUAUAGACAGAGUGUGGGCACGGAAGCUGUCAUCCACGAACUAGCCCAGCUUCAUUAACCCUCCUACUGGAACCACCAAGGCUAGAGGUUAAUGCCAAAAAAGUUUUGGCAAAGUUUUAUCUCUUCAAUUGUAAUUUUUGACCAUAUUGAGAUUAUUGCAUCAUGUAGGUAAGAAGACAUCAUGAUUGUUUUAGUGAACAUUUUUGCUGAAGAUACAACACUUCUUGAAG